UUUAAUCUUCAGGUUCUUUGAUUCUGCUUCAGAACAACAUGGAGGCGGCCGUGUAGAAUCGAUUAAGCCACCAAACCCUUCAGCCGCCGCCACGAUUGAAAUAGAAAAAUCUUGAUCAGUUGAGCAAAAACAAAGUCCACCCGGCACAAAUCUAAACCAGCCUCUAUCAGCACUUCUAUUCGGAAACUUCUGUGUGUUAUAGCGAAAUGUAUUUCCAUAUAUUUUAUGAAAAAUGUAAUGUCGAAAUUAUUGAAUUAUGUUUCAGAACUAGUGAAGAGGUUGUUUAUCUGUAUAAUCACCAAUUUUGCCACAACACUUUUGACUUUCCUGACCUUGUCCUUUUCUAACCUUAAACAUUGGCUAAAGGACUCAAAAACUGAGGAGGUGGAGGCACUUGGAAUGAAAAAAGCUGAACUUACUAUACUAAUGGUGAUAGAAGGAGGGUUGGGCAUACUUGGAGAAGUUGCUGCGAAAAAUAUUCCGCAGAUCAAAGGUAUGACUCAGGAUAUAAUAAAGUUCACACAAUUACAAGAUCUUGUACAGGAACAUGAUGACAAAAAACACUCUGAGAAUAGAGGAGAGAGUGGAGGAGAUGCGGAAGCUUAAAAUGUUAGUGGAAAUGCUGGAGCUUCAACUGUUGGAAGUGAAAAUUUUGUUGGAGCUUCAAAACCUGAUCCCUCAAAAGGUAAAUAUGGGCAAAAGCAUAUCUUGGGGAUUGAAACUUUAGUCCUUUAGCCAUAUAUUAAUUUGCUUUUGUUAUUAUUAUUAUUAUUAUUAUUUUUGCAAUCAGAUGGGAAGAUCUUUUAGAAGCCUAGGAGAGAUUGAAUGCUGAGAAGAUUAGAGAAAUCAAGAAUUUUGAGUGGCAUUUCUCCUUUUGUCAAACUAGGCAAUUUCUUUCUUUUAGGAUUAAAGUGAAGUAUACUCAAAGUUACCACUACACUAUUAAAUUUUUGUGCUC
rnacentral:lncRNA from 1 species